UUCAACUUGGUCCCACCGCGGUUCCUGAAAGGUUGUUUGUAGUAAUUCCAGAAGGAUGACGGUGUUGGCUUUUCUGCUAGUCAGUACUUCUCUUUCAAAGUACUGCCAGAUGUGCAAAAUGAUACCUUUUUUUUUCCAAUGGUGGAAGAAGAAGAAGAAGUAGUAGUUGGAUUCUCAAAGAUUCUGAGAAGUAACUUGAAACUCAAGUUGUCAAAUGUAGAGUAAAAAGGUCUGUUCCUCUGGAGUUCUUUGAUGCAAAGAAACUACUUUCCAUUCAGAGUGAGAGCAGACCAAGGAGCUGGGAAUGUGGGUAUUUGAGGCUGUGAUAGAGGGAGAGCUUCAUCUCAUGGUGGAAAUGUGUGAAUACCCCAAGCCUUCGGCAAGGCAGGCUGCAUGUUUUCUGGGCACAGUACACUUUGUUUGCCCCAAGUUGAUCUGGAUAUUCACUGAGGAACCACCCUUUACUCUGAACAGAAUGCUAGACCC